rnacentral:lncRNA from 1 species
GUGGAAACUGGCCGCACACCUCCUGCCUUGCACAAGAUGUCAGGGAAGGGCGGUGGCUUUGGAGGCUUCAGGGAGUGAAUGUCGACGGGGUCUGCAAGAGCUCCCAAUGCCCAAGCUGGAGAAAUUCUAGGAACAAAAUAAAUAAUCGUAGCCCAGAUGCUCCUGGACUGGUGGGGCCACAUCCUGACAACCCAUCGUAAGUUUAAUAUACCCCAGGGACAUGGAUGAAGCUGGAAACCAUCAUUCUGAGCAAACUAUCGCAAGGACAGAAAACCAAACACCGCAUGUUCUCACUCAUAGGUGGGAACUGAACAAUGAGAACACUUGGACACAGGAAGGGGAACAUCAUACACCAGGGCCUGUUGUGG